UUUUAUGGAGAGUUUGAUCCUGGCUCAGGAUGAACGCUGGCGGCGUGCCUAAUACAUGCAAGUCGAGCGAACGGACGAGAAGCUUGCUUCUCUGAUGUUAGCGGCGGACGGGUGAGUAACACGUGGAUAACCUACCUAUAAGACUGGGRUAACUUCGGGAAACCGGAGCUAAUACCGGAUAAUAUUUUGAACCGCAUGGUUCAAAAGUGAAAGACGGUCUUGCUGUCACUUAUAGAUGGAUCCGCGCUGCAUUAGCUAGUUGGUAAGG
rnacentral:rRNA from 1 species